CUGGGAAGACCUGCUCAAAUGGAACAGCUGCUGGACUCACCUGUUCAGGUCCACGUGGUGUCAGGUUGGUGGGACAGCCGAGCCGCUGUGCUGGUACUUUGGAGAUCCAACACCAGGGACACUGGAGACCAACAGGAGAUGACUAUAAAGACUGGGACCUGAAGUCUGGAUCUGCUGUGUGUCAACAUCUGGACUGUGGAUCAGCUGUGUCAGUCAACAGAACAUAUGGUUCUCCAGACAGACCUGUGUGGGUGGUCUCAGGUCUUUGUGUAAAGCUGACAUCUGGACCCGAGAACUGUGUUGGACUAGAUGGUUCCUCCAGUCGCUCUGCUGUGGACGUGGUGUGUUCAGAUCUGCUGCCUCAGCCCAACAUCUCCCUGUCUGACGGGGUCUUUGAGGUCUACCAGCAGGGGUUCCGGGUGCUGGUGGGCUCAGACCUCACCAUCACGUGCUCCGUCCGACCACAGUACCCAGGAGGCUCCUUCCAGCUGAUCUCCAACACCAAGAAGCCCCUGAACCUCACCCUGCCGGCUGUCAAUCACUCCGCCCACUUCCUGUUGUCUGCCAUGGGCCACGCCCACCGA